rnacentral:tRNA from 1 species
GGCUGGUUAGCUCAGUCAGUUGAGCGUGGCGCUUACAAUGCCAAGGACGUGGGUUCAAACCCUGUUCGGUCC